GUUUGUGAUGAAAAAACACGCUGUGCAAGAUGCUCAGAGGCAUUUCGUCUCGCUUUUCGUUCAGAGUUCAAAUUCCGCCGAGGCCGACUUUGCCUUUCAUCCUUUCAGGGUCGAUAAAACAAGUACCAGUUGAACACUGGGGUCAAUGUAAUCGACU